rnacentral:rRNA from 1 species
AUUGAACGCUGGCGGCAUGCCUAACACAUGCAAGUCGAACGGCAGCACAGCCCGCAAGGGUGGGUGGCGAGUGGCGGACGGGUGAGGAAUACAUGGGAAUCUACCCUGUCGUGGGGGAUAACGUAGGGAUACUUACGCUAAUACCGCAUACGACCGAGAGGUGAAAGCGGCGGACCGCAAGGCGUCGCGCGGCUGGAUGAGCCCAUGUCGGAUUAGCUAGUUGGCGGGGUAAAGGCCCACCAAGGCGACGAUCCGUAGCUGGUCUGAGAGGAUGAUCAGCCACACUGGAACUGAGACACGGUCCAGACUCCUACGGGGAGGCAGCAGUGGGGAAAUNUUGGACAAUGGGCGCAAGCCUGAUCCAGUAAUGCCGCGUGGGUGAAGAA